GACGAACGCUGGCGGCGUGCUUAACACAUGCAAGUCGAGCGGUAAGGCCCUUUCGGGGGUACGACGAGCGGCGAACGGGUGAGUAACACGUGGGUGACCUGCCUCUAGCUCUGGGAUGAGCCUGGGAAGCUGGGUCUAAUACCGGAUAUGACCUCGCGGUGCAUGUUGCGGGGUGGAAAGCCUUGUGCGGCUAGGGAUGGGCCCGCGGCCUAUCAGCUUGUUGGUGGGGUGAUGGCCUACCAAGGCGACGACGGGUAGCCGGCCUGAGAGGGCGACCGGCCACACUGGGACUGAGACACGGCCCAGACUCCUACGGGAGGCAGCAGUGGGGAAUCUUGCGCAAUGGGCGAAAGCCUGACGCAGCGACGCCGCGUGAGGGAUGACGGCCUGGUGUAACU
rnacentral:rRNA from 1 species